rnacentral:rRNA from 1 species
UGGCGGACGGGUGAGUAACGCGUGGGUAACCUGCCUCGUACAGGGGGAUAACGGUUAGAAAUGACUGCUAAUACCGCAUAAGCGCACAGUACCGCAUGGUACGGUGUGAAAAACUCCGGUGGUAUGAGAUGGACCCGCGUCUGAUUAGCUAGUUGGUGAGGUAACGGCCCACCAAGGCGACGAUCAGUAGCCGACCUGAGAGGGUGACCGGCCACAUUGGGACUGAGACACGGCCCAG